UAACGAAUCUUCCACAAUGCACGAAAGUGUGAUGGAGCGACGCCGCGUGUAGGACGAAGCCCUUCGGGGUGUAAACUACUGUCAGGGGUUAGAAAGUUCUGAUCAACCCCAGAGGAAGAGACGGCUAACUCUGUGCCAGCAGCCGCGGUAAGACAGAGGUCUCGAGCGUUAGGCGGAAUCACUGGGCUUAAAGCGUGUGUAGGCGGAUUUGUAAGUACCUUGUGAAAUCCCACGGCUUAACCGUGGAACUGCUUGGUAUACUGCUUAUCUUGGGCCAUCUAGGGGCGAGCGGAACAAACGGUGGAGCGGUGAAAUGCGUAGAUAUCGUUUGGAACGCCAAUGGUGAAAACAGCUCGCUGGGGAUGUGCCGACGCUGAGACACGAAAGCCAGGGGAGCGAACGGGAUUAGAUACCCCCGUAGUCC
rnacentral:rRNA from 1 species